GGGGCUGAACGGAUUCGACAGCUAUCGUAGAUGAUUAAGUGCAACGAGGUUUGAGCAAGACCUACUAAAAAAGGUUCACAUUGUUUAAUUGGCACACAGUUCAAUUACGCUUACGCUUAAUGUGUAAGGCUCGUUCCAAGACUCAGAUAUUGGGUAACGGGUUCAGAUAUCUGAAAGACCACUCACAGACACAUCGAGUAUAAUAUGUGUACGGAACUAUCCAAGAAAAUAGUCGGUGGUUUGUAAGUAACUUCUCGGAGGGUAGUAACUUAACUAAGUUGUGAAUGACUUAACAUUGAAAGUAGUAUGGACUGGGGUUCGAUUCCCCACAGCUCCAC
rnacentral:tmRNA from 1 species